UCAGUGCUACAACUAUUACAAACAAGAAAAACCACGGGGGAACAAAACUGCCGUAUACGAACGCCGCUUUUCACCAGACAUGACGUAUGGACAUCACCACGGGUACUUCUCAUGGAGUCAGCUCAAGAACCUAACUCGAGACAACGGCACUGACGACAAUCGAAAUGAAAAGUUUAACCAACCGACCUUCUACGGGAAAUUAUGUGACGGUGAUGACAAGACAUCUUGCAUUAUCCGCAAGAUGAACUCCACAGACUUAGGUUUCCGAUAUCUUGGGGAAUUUAACUCGAACGCUCAGAGUCGACGCCAAAUGAAUAUGACAACGAGGGCCUGUGUGAAGAAAUGCAAGGAUGCCUCAUGGUGUGUUGGAGUGCAGAUACGGAAGUCGGGUAACCAGUAUAUGCAGGAAACGUAUCUGAGACGGAAACGGGGUCCUGGUGGCGCAAAUAAGGGUAUUUACUGUGCAUUCUACCACUUUGUGGACCUGUACAAGAAGACCUGCGCCGUGGUGCCCAAGAAGCGCUUCAGAAUGGAUCACGCAACGGAAAAUGAUACUAUGCUAAGGCAAGUUGCGUCCGAGGUUAGUCGAUAUGCCAAAACAAACUGAAGUACAUAACUGUUUUCUCAGUAGGCAAAGGUUUCUCAAGGGAUUUGUCUUUGAUUUGACCUCAUCAAACUCAAAUAUAAGUUUUAACUUUCAAAUUGGACCAAAGCCAAACAGGCGUAUAUUGCAGGGACUUACACCUUCUUUUAAAAUACAAUAUUUGUAAGACAUAAAUACGAUGAUGUUAUUAAAUUCCACUCACCAACUAAA